rnacentral:rRNA from 2 species
GGUUAAGCGACUAAGCGUACACGGUGGAUGCCCUGGCAGUCAGAGGCGAUGAAGGACGUGCUAAUCUGCGAAAAGCGUCGGUAAGGUGAUAUGAACCGUUAUAACCGGCGAUGUCCGAAUGGGGAAACCCAGUGCAAUUCGUUGCACUAUCGUUAACUGAAUACAUAGGUUAACGAGGCGAACCGGGGGAACUGAAACAUCUAAGUA